CCCCGGUAAACGGCGGCCGUAACUAUAACGGUCCUAAGGUAGCGAAAUUCCUUGUCGGGUAAGUUCCGACCUGCACGAAUGGCGUAAUGAUGGCCAGGCUGUCUCCACCCGAGACUCAGUGAAAUUGAACUCGCUGUGAAGAUGCAGUGUACCCGCGGCAAGACGGAAAGACCCCGUGAACCUUUACUAUAGCUUGACACUGAACAUUGAGCCUUGAUGUGUAGGAUAGGUGGGAGGCUUUGAAGUGUGGACGCCAGUCUGCAUGGAGCCGACCUUGAAAUACCACCCUUUAAUGUUUGAUGUUCUAACGUGGACCCGUAAUCCGGGUUGCGGACAGUGUCUGGUGGGUAGUUUGACUGGGGCGGUCUCCUCCUAAAGAGUAACGGAGGAGCACGAAGGUUGGCUAAUCCUGGUCGGACAUCAGGAGGUUAGUGCAAUGGCAUAAGCCAGCUUGACUGCGAGCGUGACGGCGCGAGCAGGUGCGAAAGCAGGUCAUAGUGAUCCGGUGGUUCUGAAUGGAAGGGCCAUCGCUCAACGGAUAAAAGGUACUCCGGGGAUAACAGGCUGAUACCGCCCAAGAGUUCAUAUCGACGGCGGUGUUUGGCACCUCGAUGUCGGCUCAUCACAUCCUGGGGCUGAAGUAGGUCCCAAGGGUAUGGCUGUUCGCCAUUUAAAGUGGUACGCGAGCUGGGUUUAGAACGUCGUGAGACAGUUCGGUCCCUAUCUGCCGUGGGCGCUGGAGAACUGAGGGGGGCUGCUCCUAGUACGAGAGGACCGGAGUGGACGCAUCACUGGUGUUCGGGUUGUCAUGCCAAUGGCACUGCCCGGUAGCUAAAUGCGGAAGAGAUAAGUGCUGAAAGCAUCUAAGCACGAAACUUGCCCCGAGAUGAGUUCUCCCUGAGACUUUA
rnacentral:rRNA from 1 species